rnacentral:rRNA from 1 species
CCUACGGGAGGCUGCAGUGGGGAAUAUUGGACAAUGGGGGGAACCCUGAUCCAGCCAUGCCGCGUGUGUGAAGAAGGCCCUCGGGUUGUAAAGCACUUUCAGUGAGGAAGAACGCCUGGUGGUUAAUACCCAUCAGGAAAGACAUCACUCACAGAAGAAGCACCGGCUAACUCCGUGCCAGCAGCCGCGGUAAUACGGAGGGUGCGAGCGUUAAUCGGAAUUACUGGGCGUAAAGCGCGCGUAGGUGGCUUGAUAAGCCGGUUGUGAAAGCCCCGGGCUCAACCUGGGAACGGCAUCCGGAACUGUCAAGCUAGAGUGCAGGAGAGGAAGGUAGAAUUCCCGGUGUAGCGGUGAAAUGCAUAGAGAUCGGGAGGAAUACCAGUGGCGAAGGCGGCCUUCUGGACUGACACUGACACUGAGGUGCGAAAGCGUGGGUAGCAAACAGGAUUAGAUACCCGUGUAGUC